GACGAACGCUGGCGGCGUGCUUAACACAUGCAAGUCGAGCGGUAAGGCCCUUUCGGGGGUACACGAGCGGCGAACGGGUGAGUAACACGUGGGUGACCUGCCCUCAGCUCUGGGAUAAGCCUGGGAAACCGGGUCUAAUACUGGAUAUGACUCCAUGACGCAUGCUGUGGGGUGGAAAGCCUUGUGCGGCUGAGGAUGGGCCCGCGGCCUAUCAGCUUGUUGGUGGGGUGAUGGCCUACCAAGGCGACGACGGGUAGCCGGCCUGAGAGGGCGACCGGCCACACUGGGACUGAGACACGGCCCAGACUCCUACGGGAGGCAGCAGUGGGGAAUCUUGCGCAAUGGGCGAAAGCCUGACGCAACGACGCCGCGUGA
rnacentral:rRNA from 1 species